ensembl:miRNA MIRLET7F-2 microRNA let-7f-2
AGAUUGCUCUAUCAGAGUGAGGUAGUAGAUUGUAUAGUUGUGGGGUAGUGAUUUUACCCUGUUCAGGAGAUAACUAUACAAUCUAUUGCCUUCCCUGAGGAGUAGAC